rnacentral:misc_RNA from 1 species
UCCGAGUUGACCCCGGCAGUCUCCUGCGAGUCCCCGCCAUUACGCGCUGGCAACACAGGACAAGGGUUGCGCUCGUUGCGGGACUUAACCCAACAUCUCACGACACGAGCUGACGACAACCAUGCACCACCUGUGCACGGCCCUUACGGACCCCACAUCUCUGCGGGAUUUCCGUGCAUGUCAAGCCUAGGUAAGGUUCUUCGCGUUGCAUCGAAUUAAGCAACAUGCUCCGCCGCUUGUGCGGGCCCCCGUCAAUUCCUUUGAGUUUCAACCUUGCGAUCGUACUCCCCAGGUGGAUAACUUAACGCUUUCGCUUGGACGCUGAACGGUAUAUUGCCAACGUCGGGUUAUCAUCGUUUACGGCGUGGACUAC